rnacentral:rRNA from 1 species
GACGAACGCUGGCGGCGUGCCUAAUACAUGCAAGUCGAGCGGACUUGAUGGAGCUUGCUUCAUCAAGUUAGCGGCGGACGGGUGAGUAACACGUGGGCAACCUGUCUGUAAGACUGGGAUAACUCCGGGAAACCGGAGCUAAUACCGGAUAGUAUCUUGAACCGCAUGGUUCAGGUUGGAAAGACGGUUUCGGCUGUCACUUACAGAUGGGCCCGCGGCGCAUUAGCUAGUUGGUGAGGUAAUGGCUCACCAAGGCAACGAUGCGUAGCCGACCUGAGAGGGUGAUCGGCCACACUGUGACUGAGACACGGACCAGACUCCUACGGUAGGCAGCAGUAGGGAAUCUCCCGCAAUGCACGAAAGUCUUACGGAGCAACGCCGCGUGAGUGAUGAAGGUUUUCCAAUCGUAAAGCUCUGUUGUUAGGGAAGUACAAGUGCGAGAGUAACUGCUCGCACCUCGACGGUACCUA